AUUGAAGCACCAGUUCCUGUAUGAUCACCAAAGUUAAGCAAAGAUGAGUGUGAUCAAUACCUAGAUUGGUGACCACUUGGGAAUACUAGGUGCUGUAAG